GCUCUGCAAACUGCAAUCCAAGUUCUUCAUAUCUGGUUGCGCGUCUCUCUAUUAUUGGCCAUCGCGCUCAAGCUCUCCAUAUGGACCAAUUUUGAACUGUUCAAAGAUACCUACCCAAUCACACUCAUCAGCUCCACAUCCCCUUAAACUUCAUAGUCUCCAAUUAACCGGAAUCCGGGUUGACUUCGACUCACCUUCAGGGUAAAGUUCUUUUAACGACACGGCCAAACAUCUCCAUGCCCAUGGUUCCACCUAGCCAUUCAAUCUUGGUUUCGGGACAAUUGUAUUCUCUUUCCAUCGUCCUGCAUGUGCCCGAAUCGCCGCCAAAUUCACUCAAGGCAUGUUUAAGAUGUGCUUGAACUUGGUGAAUGUCUGGGGUAACUCGACCCUUAUAGCGAAGAUCCCCGAAGUUCCCAAUGGUCUUUCCGGAUCCAAGUUCGGCAUGUGCCGAUUGGGGUUGCUCAAAUAUAGCUCUAGCUUGGUACAGCAUUUCUGGCCUGGAUACGAUUACCUUUAUUCAUGGCUGAUUGGGACUCUCAAGGACAGAUUCUGACCUUUCCUGUCACCUUCAGUCACCAGGAGAACCCAAUCAAUCCCUCAACGCAACGUGAUACUGACCAUUUUGAGCCCCGAUCUAGAAGUUUAUGAUGCCAGUGUGAUCCUUUCCACGCAAUAUCAUGGGCUUCGAUACCUCAUGUUCCACCAUCCCUACAUUACUA